GUGAAUGAAACGUUCUCAGUUUCACACGUCAUUUUGUACAUUUUCAAAACAAAGUUGGACUCGGUGCGUCAUGAAGAAAAUCAAUUCGUGAAACUGGAAUCGAAAAAUUAAAUGAAAAUUAUAUAAAAGUAUUAAUUCAUAGGACGAAUAUCUCAAUCAUGGGAGAAACUUGUUGUCACGGAAAAAGAUCAUGUAAAAAGAAGAAUAGGAAGAUGCAGCAAACCCAGCCGGUAUCCUCUUGCGAAAUGUGCAGCCAAACGUGUUUUAUACCGAGCAGCGACGCGAGUGUAUUCGCAUAUACAUACGUGAAAUGUUGCUAUUGCUGUGCUACGUUCUACGAGUAUUGGUUAAGGUCGUCCAAACUCGUCUGCUGUAUACUGUACUGCCUGCUGACCGGGGAGAAGGACUGGAAAAAGGACAAUUUCAAAGUGUACGAAUCAUUUAGCGAGUUCGUCUCGGCCAGCGUUCACUUGUUUCGCUAUCUCAGGUACUCAUUCGCGCGGCUCACUAAAUAUUUUUGUCGAUCUGAUUAAAGCAUGUUUUUGUAA